UCGUCGGCCUCCACCACCGCGAAACCUGAACGGCGGUGCACCAUGUUUUCUGGGCUAUGGCAGCGAGGCCACAGUACCUGCUGGGUUCAUGAGCGGGAGGAGGAAGCAUGGCGCUAAGGAAAGCGGGGAGCAGCGGAAGGUCACAGCCCGAGGGUUCCGAAUGCCCUCCUGCCACACACAGCAUGGCGGCGGCCCGAACCCGCGCCCGACUUCCGUUUCCUGUGCGGGAUUCGUCACUUCCUCUCCGGUGCUCUGGAGCCCCUCAGAGGCUGGGAACCUGAGGCGGUCUGGCUGGCUUCGCCCGCUGGUCUCCUCUCUUCUUGCCUGGUCUCCAGGGCAGCCGCCGCGGCCCCGAGGCUCAGCGGCCCGCGGCUUGUCCCGCGUGGAGGGAUCCACGAGGUCAGGAGGGAUGGAGCCGGGGUGGCGGAGGCGCGUCCACUAGGCUCGUGAUGAAAAGCCACCCCGCGCCGUCGUGGGGCUCGAUGGUGGCCGACGGGGCGCGCGUGGGCAGACGAAUCUCGCUGAUCUCCAACUUGCAAUCCUCCUGCCUCGGCCUCCUCAGUCUCUGGGAUUCCUGGUACCUAACCACAUACCGGUCUCUUUAGUUUUAACCAUUAAACUGUUUUUACCAUCCACUGACCACUGUGCUUCUGGUAAACCUUCUGGCUUCUGAGGCCACGUCUAGGAUGAAGAGCCUCAAUUGGGUAGUUUUCAUGGGUGGCAGGCCCCAUUCUUCACCUCCUUUUAUUGAGAUGGCAGUGAAAAGCCAAGGCAAAUAGCCCUAUUAAAGGGGCUGAGAAGGUCACAGGAGACCAGAGCCUUUGACCUUUAUUUUUUAAAUGGACUCUCCCUUGAAGGAGCUUACCACCGAUGUUGACGUGCAAAUAGACACUGUGGGACUUGAAAGUAAGAGAGAUUUUGCCACAGUCCUUAGGAAAGAUGGUCACCAAACGAGUACCUCCUGACGGCAGACCUAAUGAGCAAGACCACAGCCUCCUUCACCGUGGCAUUGGACCAGGCUGCAAAGCUCGCUCUCCCUCAGAGGUGGCCACAUCCUGCUCUGCUUAGUUGUUAUAUAUUGUUUCUAACCUGAAUUUUGUGGGGUGGGUAGGGGACAGGGGGACAGAGUGCAUCAGAGUCCCCAGGUAGCUGAGGAAUUCAUGGAAUCUGUACAACUCUCACUAUUGCCCAAGUUACAGUGCCGGGUAAAACUGGAAGACUUUUCCCAAGUUUACUACACAGCAAGUAAACCACUGAAAGUCAAGAGUAACAGGCUUGAACAAUUGGAGAGCAGAAGGUGGCAAGGGAUUUCAUUUGAUAACGGGAACAUAGCUUUCUUGUUUAAUAAAAUGCUUUAAAAAUUCAUCAGUGGUUUUCAGUAAUUAGCAUAUAAAUUUCAGUUAUCAAUGGGUUCAUAACAAACAGACUCAUUAGGUACCCCACUCAGUCAUCUAUCUACAUGAAAAGUUCUGCUAAAUUGUAUUUGUGGGCAUUGAUCAAAACUAAUGGGAAAAAAGAUUAAGAUAAAAAUCAUGGGAUUAAAUUUUUAAUUAGUUUGCUCCCUGAACAAUUGUGUGGUGUGCCAUGGUGAUUGAUUGGCUACUUCUGCCUGCCUGGGAGGAUGUGGUUCUGCCACCAAACCUCUGCACAUAAGAGGGUUUUACAAAGGCCAUUUUAUUCAGUUAUCCUUCUCUUUAUUCCUGCUUAACAAGAAAUUGAAAAGGAAAGGAAAGUCUGGGGCCUCAAACUCCCUCGUCUGGUGAGACAUAUAAAAUAUGAGCUGAGGGCUUCAGUCAGUUCACUAAUAAACCUUCCAAACUUAA